GCGGGAGAAAGGGCGGAAGGCCAGAGUGUUGCGUUAGGUGUGCGUACGGCUGUUCGUUGCCCGGGAGGAGUUGCUUUUUCGGCGUGUAGACCUCCUCUUUUCGCGCGGAGGACUCUUCUUUCGUCGCACCUCCCAGGCUCUUUACGUUGUUGCUUGGGAGCGUCAGCUUUGAGCCAGGGCGCGCGCCCAUUUCAGCGGAAAAGACUAAAGAUUAGAUUGGAAGAAAAGAGAGUAGAAGCCAUGUUUCGAAGACCUGUAGUACAGGUGCUUCGCCAGUUUGUAAGACAUGAGUCUGAAGUAGCUAGCAGUUUGGUUCUCGAGAGAUCUCUGAAUCGCGUGCAGUUGCUUGGUCGUGUAGGUCAGGACCCUGUCAUGAGACAGGUAGAAGGAAAAAACCCAGUCACAAUAUUUUCCCUAGCAACAAAUGAGAUGUGGCGAUCAGGGGAAAACGAAACCUACCAAAUGGGUGAUGUCAGUCAAAAGACAACAUGGCAUAGAAUUUCAGUGUUCCGACCGGGCCUCAGAGACGUGGCGUAUCAGUAUGUGAAAAAGGGGUCUCGAAUUUUUGUGGAAGGGAAAGUAGACUAUGGUGAAUAUACGGAUAAAAAUAAUGUGAGACGACAAGCAACAACAAUUAUAGCUGAUAAUAUUAUAUUUCUGAGUGACCAGAUGAAAGAGAAGCCGUAGACUGGAGGAUUCUUCUCUGGCCGGUGUUUGCUCUCUGCCAUCCUUUGAACCUCAAAGUCCUGCUUGUCCAUAUUGGUGUACAUCUUGACACUUUCUUGUUUUUCUCCUCUACCUGUCAUUUGGGGAAAAAACUGGUCUGCCAUAGUAGUUCACUGAAGGCUGUGCAAUCAGAGAGCCUGCAUUUGAAUCUCUGCUUUGGUCAGAGCAGAUGAGUGAACUCUGGAAAGUUCCUUCAGUGACCUAAGUCUGCUGGGAGUCUCAUCCUGUGUGCUUCUCUUCACCGUCGUCUGACUCUUUCUUCCCUAAAAUGUGGCCGUGGUGGCUGAAUCUCCAGGAGCCAUCUUGGAACGUGAGGUGGUCUUCAGGCUGGAAGACAGAGGAAGCUGGGAUCCAUGAUGACCGUGGGCCAUCAUACCAGUCCCGGACAGCCUACUUCUGGACUUCUUUUGGCGACACAAAUAAAUCUGCCUUGUAACUA